rnacentral:rRNA from 1 species
GACGAACGCUGGCGGCGUGCUUAACACAUGCAAGUCGAACGAUGAACCCGGAGCUUGCUCCGGUGGAUUAGUGGCGAACGGGUGAGUAACACGUGAGUAACCUGCCCUUGACUCUGGGAUAACUGCGGGAAACUGUAGCUGAUACCGGAUACGACCCUCGGCGGCAUCGCCAGGGGUGGAAAGAAUUUCGGUCAAGGAUGGACUCGCGGCCUAUCAGCUAGUUGGUGAGGUAACGGCUCACCAAGGCGACGACGGGUAGCAGGCCUGAGAGGGUGAACCGCCACACUGGGACUGAGACACGGCCCAGACUCCUACGGGAGGCAGCAGUGGGGAAUAUUGCACAAUGGGCGCAAGCCUGAUGCAGCAACGCCGCGUGAGGGAUGACGGCCUUCGGGUUGUAAACCUCUUUUAGUAGGGAAGAAGCGAAAGUGACGGUACCUGCAGAAAAAGCACCGGCUAACUACGUGCCAGCCGCCGCGAUAA